rnacentral:rRNA from 1 species
GAUGAACGCUAGCUACAGGCUUAACACAUGCAAGUCGAGGGGUAACGAGAGGAAAGCUUGCUUUCCCUGUCGACGACCGGCGCACGGGUGAGUAACGCGUAUCCAACCUGCCCCCAACUAGGGAAUAACCUUGCGAAAGUAAGACUAAUACCCUAUAAUUUCCUCAGAUGUCAUCUGACGAGGAAUAAAGAUUUAUCGGUUGGGGAUGGGGAUGCGUCUGAUUAGCUUGUUGGCGGGGUAACGGCCCACCAAGGCAACGAUCAGUAGGGGUUCUGAGAGGAAGGUCCCCCACAUUGGAACUGAGACACGGUCCAAACUCCUACGGGAGGCAGCAGUGAGGAAUAUUGGUCAAUGGGCGGAAGCCUGAACCAGCCAGGUAGCGUGCAGGAUGACGGCCCUAUGGGUUGUAGACUGCUUUUAUACAGGAAUAAAGUUAGCCACGUGUGGUUAUUUGUAGGUACUGUAUGAAUAAGGACCGGCUAAUUCCGUGCCAGCAGCCGCAGUAA